UCCAGCAGAACACUCACUGGAUGGGGGGAGGCGGAUUUUCCAAGCUUGCUUUCUUCUCUGCUUUUUUGAAGGAAACCCGCCAGGGCCCCAAGGUCUCUCUACCUCCACUGGGAGGGAAAUGGAGCCCCCGGGGAAGCAGGGGAAGUGCGCCGUUUAAGGGGUGGCGUGUUCUCGGCCCAUUGUUCUGCAAGAACUGCGUGCCUUUCUGAUGGAACUCAGAGCCAGGAAUCCCGAGUCAUCAGGAAGACGGAAACUCACGGCGCGCAGCUGCGUCGAGAUUACGCACUGUGCAUUGCAAGAGCUGCAAUGGAACGGCCAAGAAUGCAAAGGCAGACAUCAGAAGUGGGCCAUCGUAAAACAACGAAGCUACCUUGAAUCAUUCAAAUGGCCCCUUCAGCAAAAGACAACACAGCAUUUCUUACCAAUGGUACACAACACAAGACAGGCUCCUACACGCUGUGGCAGAGGAAACAACGGCUGAUGU